UACGAAGGGGGCUAGCGUUGCUCGGAAUUACUGGGCGUAAAGCGUGCGUAGACGGUUAUUUAAGUCGGGUGUGAAAGCCCCGGGCUCAACCUGGGAAUUGCAUUCGAGACUGAAUAGCUAGGGUACGGUAGAGGGAAGCGGAAUUUCCGGUGUAGCGGUGAAAUGCGUAGAUAUCGGGAGGAACACCAGUGGCGAAGGCGACUUCCUGGCCUGUUCUUGACGCUGAGGCGCGAAAGCUAGGGUAGCAAACGGGG
rnacentral:rRNA from 1 species